rnacentral:RNase_P_RNA from 1 species
UGAGUCGGACGAGGUGGCCGCGGGCGUUCCUCAGGGAAGGCUCGAGGAAGGUCGGGACUCCAAAGGGCAGGGUGCUGGCGUGAAGCCAGGCGCCGCGAGGCGACGGAGAGUGCAACAGAGAGCAGACCGCCGAUGGACCGGGAAACCGGUCACAGGUAAGGGUGAAACGGUGCGGUAAGAGCGCACCAGCGUCCCGGGCGACCGGGCGGCUCGGUAAACCCCACCCGGAGCAAGGUCGAGCAGAGAUCAGGUGGCCCGCCCCACGAUCUCGGGUAGACCGCAUAGAUGGAUGGCCACCCAGGCGGCUUCGGCCGCUGGACAGAAUCCCGCCUACUGGCCGACUCACCGU